GACGAACGCUGGCGGCGUGCCUAAUACAUGCAAGUUGAGCGCUGAAGGUUGGUACUUGUACCGACUGGAUGAGCAGCGCACGGGUGAGUAACGCGUGGGGAAUCUGCCUUUGAGCGGGGGACAACAUUUGGAAACGAAUGCUAAUACCGCAUAAAAACUUUAAACACAAGUUUUAAGUUUGAAAGAUGCAAUUGCAUCACUCAAAGAUGAUCCCGCGUUGUAUUAGCUAGUUGGUGAGGUAAAGGCUCACCAAGGCGAUGAUACAUAGCCGACCUGAGAGGGUGAUCGGCCAGACUGGGACUGAGACACGCCCCAAACUGCUACGGGAGGCAGCAGUAGGGAAUCUUCGGCAAUGGACGAAAGUCUGACCGAGCAACGCCGCGUGAGUGAAGAAGGUUUUCGGAUCGUAAAACUCUGUUGGUAGAGAAGAACGUUGGUGAGAGUGGAAAGCUCAUCAAGUGACGGUAACUACCCAGAAAGGGACGGCUAACUACGUG
rnacentral:rRNA from 1 species